UGUGUGUGUGUGUGUGUGUGUGUGUGUGUGUUCCUCUUUCUCCACCUGCAGAUCAGGUUAGAUCCGUUUUGUGAAAUUCGCAUGCAAAUUCUCUGCUUCUAUUUGCCUAUGAUUUGUCCAUAUUUCUCUGCAAUGAAAAUCCUUCUGCAAGUGUGUGUCAGUCAGGUUCUGCAAUCAUGUCAGAGCUAACAGGCUACAGAGUGUCUGAUAAUAACAGCUCACCACUUCCUUCCUUCCCCACUUAAAAAGAGAGGUAGAAACUGUUCAUAGCUGCAGUAGUGUAGUGCACCAGUAGUGUAGUGCACCAGUAGUGUAGUGCACCAGUAGUGUAGUGCACCAGUAGUGUAGUGCACCAGUAGUGUAGUGCACCAGUAGUGUAGUGCACCUGGCCUGACUGCAUAAACAUGUCCAUUGCAUUCCAAAUGGCACCCUGUUCCCUACAUUGGGCCCUGUAGGCCCGGGUCCAAGAUAGGGUGCCAUUUGGGAUGCGGUUCUCACUCACCUCUAGGGCCCUCACUAGGACAGUCCAGCUGUCUCACUAUUGAACUGGACCUUUUUAGUGUUCAUUAGGGCACACCGUAGCAAAAUGUUUUGCAAUAGAAAAUUAACAUUUGUGUUGUUAUUGGAGACGUUCGGGUAGAAUCUCUCCAUUUUAAUUGUUGUUGUUGUUGAACCACACCGACGCAUCAGCAAGCUCUGCUGUGUUAAACCAGACGCUAACUGUGUUGUGGUCUGUAACAUGUUGAUGAUGCUUUGUGUCUGGACAUACAGACAAAGAAUAUCUGUUAAAAUGACUAUUUAAUUAAGUGUUAAUGAAAGGCGUGUAUAAACAGGGGCGCAACUUUCACUGGGAACAGGGUGGGACAUGUCCCCCCCACAUUUGGAAAUUGUAUUUUUGUGCCCCUCCCCCCCAGUUUUAUCAUUGGAACGUGAUACUAAACGAGGCCACAGUGUGCUUUAGGACCAUGCGGACGCCUCCGAGGUUGGGUAGGCUGUUUGGAGUGUUUAUCUGACUGGAUACAUUUUGUUUUUGAUAUGUCCUCCCCAACUUCUAAAACCAAAGAUUCGCCCCUGUGUAUAAAUGUGUGUCUGGCUUCAGAAAGAAAAGCAUUAUUGAAGAAGACGACGUCUUCACAGGUAUCUUAUCUGUACAGGGAGGCAUUAAGGUGGCUGACUGUUCCUUUUUUACCCUGUGUGAGAUUGGUCAUUUUUCUAGUGUGGGCAGCAGCCAGUGAACAGACCUUAUUCCAGGUAUCUUAAUAGUGACGUCUAUAUUAAUUCUCAGUCAUAACUCAGUCUACGUCCCAAAUCGCAACAUAAUUCCUAUACAGUGACUUACUUUUUACCCAAAUCCAUAGGGAAUAACCCGGGUCCAUUCAUCCCAAAUGGCACCAUAUUCCCUAUAUAGUGACCUACUUUUUACCAUAAUCCAUAGGGAAUAACCCGGGUCCAUUCAUCCCAAAUGGCACCCUUUUCCCUUUAAAGUGCACUAGGGACCAGAAGUAGGGUGCUGUAAAGGGAAUAUGGCGCCAUUUUGGACGACUCCUAAAACUGACCAAUGAGCAUCAGUAAUGUCCUAAGACUGACCAAUGAGCAUCAGUAAUGUCCUAAGACUGACCAAUGAGCAUCAGUAAUGUAAUCACAAAUAACUUUGGUUAUGGAGCUCAGAGUUGAGAGCCUGUCAGACUUCUGGUCCUUCCUCCUUGAUUGGUUAAUCAAUGUAGAUAUCCAGGUAAAGGUCAAACAUUCUGGCUCUGCUUCUUUGUUGAUUUAAUCAUUGUACUUUUUUCAAUCGGUUAUUAAAGGCUCCCUGUCUGAUUUCAGUCGAGCCAGAAAUAAAUACUGUAAUUGUUUCAACAUUUUAUCUCCUAGAAAAGAAAAAGGUAAAAACAUAGAAUGUAUUUGUUACAGUAUAGUCAUAGUAGUCUGGCUGAUGAGACUAUAUUCACAGUUCUCUCUCCACUAACAGUCAAGUAUUCACAGUUACCCACGUUUAAAACCAUGAGGCUGCAAUGAAAGCAAAAUGGAGGAUUCUGUUGCUGUUUCCUAUGUAUAUUCAUAUAUUUGUGUUGAAGCUGUAUAUUAUCUCUUGCUUUUCUUUGUCUUUGUAUGAAUAAUGUAUGUUUACACGCUCUCCUUACUCUCCCAAAUAACUGCUCUAUUUUGUAAUAAAAUACAAGCUGACCAUCCUUACUCCA